GGAUUAGAUACCCUGGUAGUCCACGCCGUAAACGAUGGAAGCUAGCCGUUGGAUAGCAUGCUAUUCAGUGGCGCAGCUAACGCAUUAAGCUUCCCGCCUGGGGAGUACGGUCGCAAGAUUAAAACUCAAAGGAAUUGACGGGGGCCCGCACAAGCGGUGGAGCAUGUGGUUUAAUUCGAGGCAACGCGAAGAACCUUACCAGCUUUUGAUCCCGAUAGCCGAUGGUAGAGAUACCGUCUUCAUUUAGUUGGAUCGGUGACAGGUGCUGCAUGGCUGUCGUCAGCUCGUGUCG
rnacentral:rRNA from 1 species